CGCAGCCCGACGCGUGUGCCAUAUACAAAGUCCAAAUCGAUGCUUCAAGAAUCGCCAUGGCCGACGGAAGUCCGGAGAGCGUCAACCAAACUCCGCACAAAUUCUUCAACUUUUGCAUCAGGAAAGAAGGAAGAAAUCGUUCUCUCCCUAAUCGCUUCGUGUUGUAGCAUUGGAAGUGAUCGUCAGCAUGGAGGAAGUAGUCGCAGUUAUCUGUUGGCUGCUCUCAACUCCGCAAAGCAGAAAGCAGCUGGACUCGGAUGGUCCCAACCUGUUGCAACAGCAAAAUGCCCGAAGAAUUAAUGAUGCAGCAUCAUGUGUUACUCCACAAGCAUAUUUAAGAAGAUCACACUAACAUGAUAUUUGAUGUCAAUCAUGCUUCCCCCCCCAAAAAAAAAAAGUUGACCUGAUUACUUUUGAAUUGAGAUAAGGAUAUUGAUCUUGAAACUUA